CACCACGGCGAGAGGCGGAAGCAGAGUUGAUGGGGGAGCGGCGGCCAUCGAUCCCGCACCGCGAGGACGUGAACAAUGACUGGGAAAGAAGGCAGGGCAGCAGGUCCAGCAGUGUUCCUUGGAGUAGGACCAUUAGGAAAUGUUAUGAGAUAACAAUAUGACUGUAUGAGCGCAUAUACAGAGAAUCCUCUCCAAUUUACCAACACCCUUCUUGAAUUGUGGACACCAGAACUGGACACAGUAUUCCAGCAGUGAUCGCACCAGUGCCAAACACAGAGAGUCCCUGAUUUCCAGGAUAGAGUCCCCAUCCUGCCAGGAGAUAAGAAGACACAGCCAAGAAGACACUGGACACAGACAUGCCUCCUCCUCUUCCGCCUUCUCACUUUGUGGUGAUAUGUGCCUGUGUCCAGUCCUCCCUUGAGCACAUGACUGCACCACUACCAGCCCUUAGCAAGACAUACUGUCAUCCAACACAAAGGAAACAUUGGAGCCAUUCCUCCAUAGGGCAUUAUGCAACAAGGAAACUGUUCUUCAGUUCCUGAAGCUGAAUUCAAGAGCCCUAGAAAUGCUACUCAGCCUUGACCUGCUGCUCAGCACCAAGGGUUUUUGGAUCUCUUUUGAUUAGCAACUGAUUAUAUGCUGAAAUCUGAUGUUCAGAAAUUAUGCACAACAGGAAUAAGGUUUCUUUUUUAAACUGAGUGGUUGGUUAAUUAGUUAGCUGACUAGCUAAGUGAGUGAUUUCAGCAGAGGAGGAGGAAGAGUCUGCAUGGAUUCCAGUUGGAGGUUUCUACAAGCAAGAGGAAAGAAGAUAUUGUUACAGUGCUUUUGACUCAGCAGACUAUAUAGCUUUUGGUGAUAGAAGACUGUAACUCAGCCUAAGCUUUUGGGAACUCUGAGUUACAUCUCACUGUGUUUCUGUGGGAGUGACCUGUUUAGAUAUAUAUUUUUUCUUCAUUUAUGCCUAUGUAUAACUGAAGAUAAUACAUGCGGAUUAUAAAGUAUCUAGGUUAUGUUGUAAAAAAGUUGUUCGUUAUGUUUAAUCAUCAUAUUCUAUAAAUUGGUACUUAAUUCUUAAGUUCA